rnacentral:lncRNA from 1 species
GGCGAGAGAGUUACGGUGAGUAGGAGCUGGGUGAUUGUGCUCCGCCGUGUAAGUGACGAUGAACAUCGUCGGGUCGGAUCUGUUUCGCUCCACUUGUUUACGGGCUAAACAUCCUUUCGAUGUACUGCAUCUGUAAUAUCCUCUGUUUUUAACAAAAGAAAGUAAAAAUUUAGAAACACAGAAUCACAAAGACAUACACAGACAAGUGUUUUGUCUUGAAAUAAUAACACAAUUAAAGAACAUUAAAUGUUUUUUAGUGUAAAGAUUUAAUCUUUUUUUUCAUUGUAACAGUACCUUGGAUAGGGUGAGCCUUUGAUGGGUUUUUGUCCGUACUUUCGCCACGCCCAGACAUCGUUGUUUAAAGCUUCUGCUGCUACAUGGCAC